CGGCGGCGCAGGAGGGGGCGGGUUCGGUGAGGGCGCGGCCUCUGAGAGGGGGGCGCACGCCGCGCAUCCCCCGCCCUCGCCCGGGGCCACUCCGGAGCCUCGCGGCCGCACGGUGCCCCACUUGGCCAUCCGCUCCGUGCUGCACCUCUCGCCCGCCUCCUCUUGUCACCUCCCGUCUCACCCUUCUCUCUCCAUCCCCGCCGCAUACCCCACCCUCCGAGUGCCUCAGAGUCGGAGGGGGUGCACGGGGCUGCAGGGCGCGACCUCAAGCGGUCCCCAGCUCGGCUUUAGGGGGCACGGGCAGCAGCAUGGACACCAAGCGCUGCUUCGCCAACCGCUUCGAUGACUACCAGGGCAGCCUGCCGGCGGGCCAGUGCGAAGAGGCGGUGGCGCCCUUGGUCACCGCCACCAUCGAGCGCAUCCUCCAGGAGCUGCCCCCACUCGGGGGCGGCGCUGAGGCGCGGGGGGCGACGGCCGGAGCCAGCUGCUGCCAGGGGGGUCUGUACGGCGGCGUGGCCGGGGUGGCCUACAUGCUCUACCACGUCUCGCAGAGCCCGCUCUUCGCCGCCGCCCGGGAGCGCUACCUGCGCUCGGCCAAGCGCCUCAUCGACGCGUGCGCCCGCGUCGAGGAGUGGGGCGAGCCGGACGCCGACACCCGCGCCGCCUUCCUGCUCGGGGGCGCGGGCGUGUACGCUGUGGCCACGCUCGUGUACUACGCCCUGGGCCGGUCCGACUACGUGCAGCCGCUGGGCAAGUUCCGGGCUCUGUGCUCGGUGUGCGCGCCGGUCUCCUUCCUGGAGUGCGGCUCCGACGAGCUGUUCGUGGGCCGCGCGGGCUACCUGUGUGCCGCGCUGGUGCUCAAGCAGAAACUCGCCCAGGAGGUAAGAGGCAGCCCCGGCCGCGAGAGGGCGCUCGCCGCCUGCCCGGCCGUGCCCGACCGCCCUUGCUCGGACUCCCUGGCUCCGGCAAUAGCGCCCCUGCUUGUUCCUCAUCCUUUGUUACCCUUUGUCUGGCGCUGUCGUUUAAUUCUGGGUCUUGAGGUUCAUCUCCUGCUUUUGUCCGCCUUCUUUCCUCUCCUUUUCAGUCUCUAA